rnacentral:rRNA from 1 species
AGCAGCCGCGGUAAUUCCAGCUCCAAUAGCGUAUAUUAAAGUUGUUGCAGUUAAAAAAGCUCGUAGUUGAAUUUCGGGGUUAGUAGGUCGGUCAUGCCACUGGUAUGUACUGGUCUCACUGAUUCCUCCCUCCUGAUGAACCGUAAUGCCAUUAAUUUGGUGUUGCGGGGAGACUGGACUGUUACUUUGAAAAAUUAGAGUGUUUAAAGCAGGCUAACGCUUGAAUACAUUAGCAUGGAAUAAUGAAAUAGGACGUUCGAUCCUAUUUUGUUGGUUUCUAGGAUUGACGUAAUGAUUAAUAGGGAUAGUUGGGGGCAUUAGUAUUCAAUUGUCAGAGGUGAAAUUCUUGGAUUUUAUUGAAGACUAACUACUGCGAAAGCAUUUGCCAAGGAUGUUUUCAUUAAUCAAGAACGAAAGUUAGGGGAUCGAAGACGAUCAGAUACCGUCGUAGUCUUAACCAUAAACUAUGCCGACUAGGGAUCGGAUGAUGUUAAUUUUUUAAUGUACUCAUUCGGCGCCU